UACGUAGGGGGCGAGCGUUGUCCGGAUUUAUUGGGCGUAAAACGCUUGUAGGUGGCUACGUCAAGUCGGACGUGAAAUCUCCCGGCUUAACUGGGAGGGGUCGCUCGAUACUGGCGAGCUCGAGGCAGGUAGGGGGAAGCGGAAUUCCCGGUGUAGUGGUGGAAUGCGUAGAUAUCAGGAGGAACACCAGUGGCGAAGGCGGUGUUCUGGGCCAGUACUGACGCUGAGGCGCGAAAGCGUGGGGAGCGAACAGG
rnacentral:rRNA from 1 species